rnacentral:misc_RNA from 1 species
GGGGAGUGGUUUGUAUCCUUCCC